AUAGGCUGUGUUGUCACGCCGGUGUCAGUCUGAUGAAGAUUGGCAUCAGGUGAAGUCUGGAGCAGGACUUCUGAAGCUUUCUAUCCUCCAUGCUGCUCACUAGAAAAGGGGCUGUGAACUGUCCUCCAUGUGAAUCAAUCCCAUGAUGCAACAUGCCUCCCCAGCCCCCGCUCUGACGAUGAUGGCCACGCAGAAUGUCCCGCCCCCACCCUACCAGGACAGCCCACAGAUGACGGCAACCACCCAGCCACCCUCCAAGGCCCAGGCUGUCCACAUCUCUGCCCCCUCAGCUGCUGCCAGCACACCUGUGCCCAGUGCCCCCAUCGACCCCCAGGCCCAGCUGGAGGCUGACAAGCGAGCUGUAUACAGAUGGUGAAGGCAAUCCAGGUCCUGAGAAUCCACCUGCUGGAGCUGGAGAAAGUCAAUGAACUCUGCAAGGACUUUUGUAACCGUUACAUCACCUGCCUCAAAACCAAGAUGCACAGCGAUAACCUGCUCAGGAAUGAUCUAGGGGGGCCCUACUCCCCCAACCAGCCCUCCAUCAACCUUCACUCACAGG
rnacentral:sRNA from 1 species